rnacentral:tRNA from 1 species
ACGCCUAUAGCUCAGAUGGAUAGAGCGCCUCCCUCCUAAGGAGGAGGUCGCUGGUUCGAAUCCAGUUAGGCGUGCCA